rnacentral:pre_miRNA from 1 species
AAUAAAAUCAUUUUUCGUUUUUCCGUGUCUAACGUUUGACCAUUCGUCUUAUUUGAAAAAUUUUUGCGAUUAAUAUUUUUGUUGUUACUAGUUAAUAAAACAUGAAUAGUACUUUAUGCGUGACUAAUUUUUGUAAGUUUUUUACAAAUUUUUUAAAUAAAAAAAUGUCAAACGUCGGAUACAGAAAAAC